GAGAGGGGUNUGGCAUUGGCAACGCGUUCACAAGCAAACAAAAUGGCGGACGCGAACUUGUAGAUCGAUCGUUUUCGUUAAAUGGGAUUUAGAGUGUUUGGAGACUGAGUUUAAGUGAACUUAUGGUCUUUUACUGUAAAAGUCUUCUCGACUGCAGUCUAUUGUCAUCUAAUCCAAGAGUCUAACAUCCAGGAAGCAGUGAAAAUUAUACAUUAAGCUAACAUCUCCAUCCUGUCGAGACAAUGUUUCAGGUUCAUCAGACAUCAUAAGUAAUAUAAUCAUUAUGAUGAUUAGAUGGAGUGCGUGUAAAGUCCACAUAUUGAUUUCUGUUUGGCAAGUAGCUUCUCAACCGAUGUUCAGUCCUGUCAUAUAUCCCAUAGUACUGUAAUUCAAUUUUUUGAAUGUCAUGAUUUAUUCUGUCAAAUUAAUACCAGUUUGAAAAGUAUCAGAAAACUCCUACUGUUACAUGUAAUUGCUGUUUACGAGUUAUAAAGUGCAGACGAAAUCUUUACAAUAAAAUCCAUACUGAUUUUCUGUUUUAAAUAAUAUAUUCUUUGAAGAAAUAAAAGAUAUCAAUCUA
rnacentral:misc_RNA from 1 species